UUGGAGGGCAAGUCUGGUGCCAGCAGCCGCGGUAAUUCCAGCUCCAAUAGCGUAUAUUAAAGUUGUUGCAGUUAAAAAGCUCAUAGUUGAAUUUCGGGGUUCUACCGUUGGUCGGGCUUUGUCUGUACUGGUGUGUAGAAUUUCUACCUUCUGGGGAACCAUCAUGCUAUCAAUUUAGCGUGGUGGGAAACCAGGACCUUUACCUUGAAAAAAUUAGUGUGUUCAAAGCAGGCUUAUGUCUGAAUACAUUAGCGUGGAAUAAUAGAAUAGGACGGUGGUCCUGUUUUGUUGGUUUCUGAAUCACCGUAAUGAUUAAUAGGGAUAGUUGGGGGCAUUAGUAUUCAAUUGUCAGAGGUGAAAUUCUUGGAUUUAUUGAAGACUAACUUCUGCGAAAGCAUUUGCCAAGGAUGUUUUCAUUAAUCAAGAACGAAAGUUAGGGGAUCGAAGACGAUCAGAUACCGUCGUAGUCUUAACCAUAAACUAUGCCGACUAGGGAUCGGACGAUGUUAAUUUUUCUUGACUCGUUCGGCGCCUUACGGG
rnacentral:rRNA from 1 species